UACGGAAGGGGCUAGCGUUGUUCGGAAUUACUGGGCGUAAAGAGCGCGUAGGCGGCUUGCCAAGUUGGGGGUGAAAUCCCGGAGCUCAACUCCGGAACUGCCUUCAAAACUGGCAAGCUCGAGUCCGGAAGAGGGGCGUGGAAUUCCCAGUGUAGAGGUGAAAUUCGUAGAUAUUGGGAAGAACACCGGUGGCGAAGGCGGCGCCCUGGUCCGGUACUGACGAUGAGGCGCGAAAGCGUGGGGAGCAAACAGG
rnacentral:rRNA from 1 species